GACGAACGCUGGCGGCGUGCUUAACACAUGCAAGUCGAACGGAAAGGCCCUGCUCUUGUGGGGUGCUCGAGUGGCGAACGGGUGAGUAACACGUGAGUAACCUGCCCUUGACUUUGGGAUAACUUCACGAAACUGGGGCUAAUACCGGAUAGGAGCUCCUGCUGCAUGGUGGGGGUUGGAAAGUUUCGGCUGUUGUGGAUGGUCUCGCGGCUUAUCCGCUUGUUUGUGGGGUAGUGGCUUACCAAGGCUUUGACGGGUAGCCGGCCUGAGAGGGUGACCGGCCACAUUGGUACUGAGAUAGGGCCCAGACGCCUACGGGAGGCAACAGGGGGAAAUCUUGCGCAAUGGGCGGAAGCCAGAUGCAAAGACGCCGCGUGCGGGAUGACCGGUUUCGGGUGGUGAACAGCUUUCGCCUGUGACGAAGCGUGAGUGACGGUACUGGGUAAAGAAGCACCGGCUAACUACGUG
rnacentral:rRNA from 1 species